AGAAUUCGCCCUUAGAGUUUGAUCAUGGCUCAGGAUAAGUCGUAACAAGGUAACCGUAAGUCGUAACAAGGUAGCCGUAGAGUUUGAUCAUGGCUCAGAUUGAACGCUGGCGGCAGGCCUAACACAUGCAAGUCGAGCGGAUGAAGGGAGCUUGCUCUCUGAUUCAGCGGCGGACGGGUGAGUAAUGCCUAGGAAUCUGCCUAUUAGUGGGGGACAACGUUUCGAAAGGAACGCUAAUACCGCAUACGUCCUACGGGAGAAAGCAGGGGACCUUCGGGCCUUGCGCUAAUAGAUGAGCCUAGGUCGGAUUAGCUAGUUGGUGAGGUAAAGGCUCACCAAGGCAACGAUCCGUAACUGGUCUGAGAGGAUGAUCAGUCACACUGGAACUGAGACACGGUCCAGACUCCUACGGGAGGCAGCAGUGGGGAAUAUUGGACAAUGGGCGAAAGCCUGAUCCAGCCAUGCCGCGUGUGUGAAGAAGGUCUUCGGAUUGUGAAGCACUUUAAGUUGGGAGGAAGGGCAGUAAGUUAAUACCUUGCUGUUUUGACGUUACCGACAGAAUAAGCACCGGCUAACUUCGUGCCAGCAGCCGCGGUAAUACGAAGGGUGCAAGCGUUAAUCGGAAUUACUGGGCGUAAAGCGCGCGUAGGUGGUUCGUUAAGUUGGAUGUGAAAGCCCCGGGCUCAACCUGGGAACUGCAUCCAAAACUGGCGAGCUAGAGUAUGGCAGAGGGUGGUGGAAUUUCCUGUGUAGCGGUGAAAUGCGUAGAUAUAGGAAGGAACACCAGUGGCGAAGGCGACCACCUGGGCUAAUACUGACACUGAGGUGCGAAAGCGUGGGGAGCAAAUAGGAUUAG
rnacentral:rRNA from 1 species